GAGUUUGAUCUUGGCUCAGGAUGAACGCUGGCGGCGUGCCUAAUACAUGCAAGUCGAACGAACAGAUAAGGAGCUUGCUCCUUUGACGUUAGCGGCGGACGGGUGAGUAACACGUGGGUAACCUACCUAUAAGACUGGAAUAACUCCGGGAAACCGGGGCUAAUGCCGGAUAACAUGUUGAACCGCAUGGUUCUACAGUGAAAGACGGUCUUGCUGUCACUUAUAGAUGGACCCGCGCCGUAUUAGCUAGUUGGUGGGGUAACGGCCUACCAAGGCGACGAUACGUAGCCGACCUGAGAGGGUGAUCGGCCACACUGGAGCUGAGACACGGUCCAGACUCCUACGGGAGGCAGCAGUAGGGAAUCUUCCGCAAUGGGCGAAAGCCUGACGGAGCAACGCCGCGUGAGUGAUGAAGGUCUUCGGAUCGUAAAGCUCUGUUGUUAGGGAAGAACAAAUGUGUAAGUAACUGUGCAUAUCUUGACGGUACCUAACCAGAAAGCCACGGCUAACUACGUGCCAGCAGCCGCCG
rnacentral:rRNA from 1 species